rnacentral:piRNA from 1 species
UGUUCACACGUACAAGAAAGAUCAAAGAC